rnacentral:rRNA from 1 species
GUCCACGCCGUAAACGAUUGAUACUAGCUGUUCGGAGCAAUCUGAGUGGCUAAGCGAAAGUGAUAAGUAUCCCACCUGGGGAGUACGUUCGCAAGAAUGAAACUCAAAGGAAUUGACGGGGGGCCCGCACAAGCGGUGGAGCAUGUGGUUUAAUUCGAUGAUACGCGAGGAACCUUACCAAGGCUUAAAUGUAGAUUGACAGGACUGGAAACAGUUUUUUCUUCGGACAAUUUACAAGGUGCUGCAUGGUUGUCGU